AUUCCAGCUCCAAUAGCGUAUAUUAAAGUUGUUGCAGUUAAAAAGCUCGUAGUUGGAUUUCUGUUCUCGAGGAUCGGUCCGCCUCACGGUGAGCACUGGUUUUUCUUGGGGACAUCCUCUCGAAGGCGGGUGGUGCACUUAAUUGUGUGCUGCUUGGAUUCGGGACCUUUACUUUGAAAAAAUUAGAGUGUUCAAAGCAGGCGUCGGCUUGAAUACAUUAGCAUGGAAUAAUGGAAUAGGACUUUGGUUCUAUUUUGUUGGUUUCUAGGACCGAAGUAAUGAUUAAUAGGGACAGUUGGGGGCAUUAGUAUUUAAUUGUCAGAGGUGAAAUUCUUGGAUUUAUGAAAGACUAACUACUGCGAAAGCAUUUGCCAAGGAUGUUUUCAUUA
rnacentral:rRNA from 1 species